GACGAACGCUGACGGCGUGCCUAAUACAUGCAAGUUGAGCGAUGAAGAUUGGUGCUUGCACCAAUUUGAAGAGCAGCGAACGGGUGAGUAACGCGUGGGGAAUCUGCCUUUGAGCGGGGGACAACAUUUGGAAACGAAUGCUAAUACCGCAUAACAACUUUAAACAUAAGUUUUAAGUUUGAAAGAUGCAAUUGCAUCACUCAAAGAUGAUCCCGCGUUGUAUUAGCUAGUUGGUGAGGUAAAGGCUCACCAAGGCGAUGAUACAUAGCCGACCUGAGAGGGUGAUCGGCCACAUUGGGACUGAGACACGGCCCAAACUCCUACGGGAGGCAGCAGUAGGGAAUCUUCGGCAAUGGACGAAAGUCUGACCGAGCAACGCCGCGUGAGUGAAGAAGGUUUUCGGAUCGUAAAACUCUGUUGGUAGAGAAGAACGUUGGUGAGAGUGGAAAGCUCAUCAAGUGACGGUAACUACCCAGAAAGGGACGGCUAACUACGUG
rnacentral:rRNA from 1 species